AUUUCACUCGUUUUCUUCUUACCACUGUAUUCUACAUUAGGAUUUUCGUUUCCAAGAAAUCGGAACUCGCAGUAUAAACUUUUUACCUCACCCAGGGGAGGUAACUCUAGUCAAGAUGACAACGAUAUUCCCAAACCGGAAGUCACAUUUAUACAAUAAAUACAUGUGACUAACUGAGUAAAUUCAGUUUUGUUUCUGCGAUAGAUCGGAACAGAUGUGUUUUCUUGUUAAAUUUUUUGACUGUGUGGUAAAAUUUUGUGGACUUUGUUAGCCAUUAAACAUUUUCAGUGACUUAGUCUGUUUGUAUUUUCUGCAAUUAUGGCAGAAAAAGAAGUGAAACAGAAGUUAGCGGAUGAUGAUAAUGCAUCGAUCCGUUCUAUAAAAUCGUCUUCCACUGGGAAAGGAUGAAAGAAAUCUUCAAAUAAACAGCCUAAAGGUAGUGUGAAAGCUUCAUCAUCAAAUACACAGCAUGAGGGUACAGUAAAAACCUUGAAAGCUUCAUCAUCAAAUACACAUGAGGGUACAGUAAAAUCCUCGACCUCGGAUGCCUCACUUUUGGUGGAGGCUUUAGAAAACAAAAUUUCAGCAAGAUUUGAAAAAAGUGAAUCACAGUAUGCCGAGCUGGACGCGGCUACUCAAGCCAGUACAAGAGGAAAGGCAACACUUUACCUCCAAGAGAGUAUGUUAAAAGACCACGUCUGGAAUCUGAAUAUAAACCUAGAAGCUCAAAUUUUUCCAGAAUACCAAAGACUUCGUUCUCAUCAGGACGACGUUCAGCUACACUUACUGGAAAGCCUAUGGUAUCACAACGUUCAGAAGGUGCUCCGACCUACAAGCGCUCCGGCUUGGGGAAGGAUAUGUAAACAUACAGAGCAGAGGCAUAACAUUUUUAAGACAGGGACUUUCCAAGCAGGAUCGCCCAUCUCACCAAGGUUCUAAGAUUUUUGUUCCUUGUUUUAAUGACAACAAGAAGUUGGAUCCAAAAAGGACACUUUAUUUUUAUCUGAAAAGAACAGACAUUUUUC